rnacentral:misc_RNA from 1 species
CCCCAAUGGGUUCUCCGGAUUUCUGGAGACUUGUAGGGGUUGUGGGAUUUUUGAUGUGUCGUCUCCGGACGGGCGGUGCAGGGUAGUCGAGUUAGACUUGGUGGAAUUCCGUCGAUAGGAGUUCCGUCGAGUCUGGUCGGCUGUGUGUUGGACGGUGCAGGGUAGGCUGCUUGAACAUGGUCGGUUCGAGGAUCGAUUCGAGGGCCGGCCCGUCGAUGAUAUGUGAUGUAUGCGGUCUAGGGUAGGCUGGUUUGUCUUGGUCCAAUUUGAUGUCGGCUCCCGUGCAGGCCAGAGUGAAGGGGGUCCAGGGUAGGUCCAGGGUAGGCAGCUUAGAUUUGGUCGAUCUGGAGGUCGAUUCUCCGGCUGGCGGAUCUGACACUGUUGAAACGAGAUGCGAGCGGUGUAGGGUAGGCUAGUUUCGUCCUCGCCAGGUUGCGAUUUGGACGAGAUAUGUGGUUUAGGGUAGGCUCUAGGGUAAGUAGAAUUCGAGUUUCGUCGCCGACAGUUUUCUGUGGGUGUAUGGUAGGUACAGGGUAGGCAAAUCUCUCUCCGGCCAGUACUUGUCUGGUGGUCGUGAGUCGAUUUUUUUGUUUUGCCAUACUAUUGAAUUUUGCGGAAAUUCAAAAGUGGCUCGGGAGUCCCGCCUGGCGUGCGUCCGACUCGAACAUCGUCGGUGUACAUAUGAGAGGGAGUAAUCCGGCCCGGCCGGGGCCCAUCGCGAGCUGCCGGGUAGGUAAAAGUAAAAAAGUUGUUAAGAGGCGCGGUGUCGGCGUGCUUGUAUCUGCGGGAGAGAAUUAUCUAGGGGUGCUGGGUAGCCGGGAAGACUUGGACGGAUCUGGCCCGGGAAUGGGUCUGGGCCUGGAUCCUGGUGUGGUGUAGGGUAGGCGUAGAUAGAUGAGUGGUCUAGGGUAGAUACAGGGUAGCCAGAAGUCUGGUAUAUAGUAUGGGGGUAUAGGGUAGGUCUGGACACCGUUUUCCACUUCGCCCUAACCUUUAGUCGAGGGAGGACGAUCUUGGCUGGGACGGAGGUGUAGGGUAGGCUUAAUUUACGAUUACAUGAUCUGUGUCACUCUAGGGUAGGUGAAAAUCUCAUAUAUCUGAUCACAUUUGGUGAAGAGGUGGUUUGGCUGGCGAGAUGGACAAAAGUGCAAUGUAGGAUUAUAUGUGAUUUUGCAAAAGUGGGUGUGAAAUUGGAAAGUCGGUUUUCCCGCACAGAUGAGAGCACGUUUGAGGUGCCAUGAGAUGCACCUCUCCGAGACGACCUCAACGGUACCACCCAUGUGUUGGUCGGGCUCCUGUGCGGCCGUCCAGGGCGGGAUAAGUAGAGAAUGUGGUGGUGUAGGGUAGGUGACCAGGUCCAGGGUAGGUUCGCCAAAUCCGUCAAUCCGGCUUGAAUCGAAGGACAGGUCUAGGGUAGGCAACCCUCACCCUCGAAGUGGUCUACCCGGUAGCCAACUUCAAUCGCCUCUCACGGCCGCCACGGACCUCGCAUGACGACGGGACUACCACCAUCGGAUUCGCCUUGGUCGAAAUAGCUGGUAUAUGCACUUUUGAAAAAAUGCGUGCAAAAUGGUUUUGUGGUUUGGUGGCCGUGAGUCGAUUUUUUUGUUUUGCCAUACAAAUGAAUUUUGCGGAAAAUAAAAAGUGGCCCACGAGGCAGUCCUGGCGUGCGGCCCACUAGAACGGUCUCGGAGGGUAUAUGAGAAGGGAGCAAAUCCGGCCGAGCCUGAAAGGGUGAGGACAAACCGGGCGAGCAACCUCUCAGUAUCAGAUCUUGCAGACUUCCACUGCGUGUCCCUCUGUACAGCUUUGCAGGCUCCGGCCUCGGCAGCGGGGGGUUCAUAGUGGUCGUCGACCUCCACGAAACUGCACGCUCCGGCGUGACAGCGUACUGGGGAUGCCUGUGUAGAUGCAGUCCGGGCUUGCCUGGACCGCUAGCAGAUGGGCUCUGUGGAUGACUGGCCGCUGGCUAGACCUGAAACCUGAGCAACGGGAGGUAACCUCUCGCCGCGGACACCGGAAUGGUAGAAGCGGCGUGCUGCGUCCUCCUCUUGGGGCCCCUAAGCCACACCU